rnacentral:rRNA from 1 species
GAUGAACGCUGGCGGCGUGCCUAAUACAUGCAAGUCGAGCGAACAGACGAGGAGCUUGCUCCUCUGACGUUAGCGGCGGACGGGUGAGUAACACGUGGAUAACCUACCUAUAAGACUGGGAUAACUUCGGGAAACCGGAGCUAAUACCGGAUAAUAUAUUGAACCGCAUGGUUCAAUAGUGAAAGACGGUUUUGCUGUCACUUAUAGAUGGAUCCGCGCCGCAUUAGCUAGUUGGUAAGGUAACGGCUUACCAAGGCAACGAUGCGUAGCCGACCUGAGAGGGUGAUCGGCCACACUGGAACUGAGACACGGUCCAGACUCCUACGGGAGGAAGCAGUAGGGAAUCUUCCGCAAUGGGCGAAAGCCUGACGGAGCAACGCCGCGUGAGUGAUGAAGGUCUUAGGAUCGUAAAACUCUGUUAUUAGGGAAGAACAAAUGUGUAAGUAACUAUGCACGUCUUGACGGUACCUAAUCAGAAAGCCACGGCUAACUACGUG